GACGAACGCUGGCGGCGUGCUUAACACAUGCAAGUCGAGCGAGACCCCGCUUUCGGGUGGGUGUUCUAGCGGCGAACGGGUGAGUAACACGUGGGCAACCUGCCCUCAGCUCUGGGAUAACUCCAAGAAAUUGGGGCUAAUACCGGAUAUGACCGCUGACCGCAUGGUCUGGUGGUGGAAAGAUUUAUCGGCUGGGGAUGGGCCCGCGGCCUAUCAGCUUGUUGGUGGGGUAGUGGCCUACCAAGGCGACGACGGGUAGCCGGCCUGAGAGGGUGACCGGCCACACUGGGAGUGGGACACGGCCCAGACUCCUACGGGAGGCAGCAGUGGGGAAUAUUGCGCAAUGGGCGAAAGCCUGACGCAGCGACGCCGCGUGGGGGAUGACGGCCUUCGGGUUGUAAACCUCUUUCAGCAGGGACGAAGCGAAAGUGACGGUACCUGCAGAAGAAGCACCGGCCAACUACGUGCCAGCAGCCGCCGUAA
rnacentral:rRNA from 1 species